CACCUACGGGUGGCAGCAGUCGAGAAUCUUCCGCAAUGGACGAAAGUCUGACGGAGCGACGCCGCGUGCGGGAUGAAGGCCCUUGGGUUGUAAACCGCUUUCGGGGGGGAUGAAAUCUCUGAGGGUACUCCCUCAGAGUUGACAGAGCCCCAAAAGAAGCACGGGCUAAGUACGUGCCAGCAGCCGCGGUAACACGUACUGUGCGAACGUUAUUCGGAAUCACUGGGCUUAAAGGGUGCGUAGGCGGCAAUCCAAGUCAGAUGUGAAAUGCCUGAGCUUAACUGAGGCACUGCGUUUGAAACUGGAUUGCUUGAGUAUUUCAGGGGUGUGCGGAACUGCCAGUGGAGCGGUGAAGUGUGUUGAUAUUGGCAGGAACACCGGAGGCGAAAGCGGCACACUGGGGCAUUUCUGACGCUGAGAGACGAAAGCGUGGGUAGCAAAAAGGAUUAGAUACCCUUGUAGUCCACGCCCUAAACUAUGGACACUAGCUAUUUGAAGUGUCGACCCUUCAAGUGGCGAAGCUAACGCGUUAAGUGUCCUGCCUGGGAAGUACGGCCGCAAGGCUAAAACUCAAAAGAAUAGACGGGGCUUCACACAAGCGGUGGAG
rnacentral:rRNA from 1 species